UCUCUCAGAGGGACGGACGGAUGGAGGGGACACGGUGGAAAAACAACCCUUUGGAGAAGUUGAGCCCAAGAAAGCAUGGGAGGUUCUACUGGGUACUGAGGGUACUGCUUAGUAUAUUUAGUUACUCUGUAUGAAGUACCGUAUACGCUGUGUCCUCCCCAAAAGAGCGCCCCCCUCUGCCACAACUGGGAGUGUUGGGCUGCGUCACCGGACGUAAAGGUCCCGGCCGGCAGAGCUCCUUGGCCUUCUUCCAGAACCCGGCACCUGACCCGCGGGCUUCCUGGGACGUGGUCCGAGGGAUGCUACCGCUGCAGCUACGAGAUCUGCAGGACGGCCGAAGAGUCGGUAGCGUGGUCCUCGGUCCGGACGGGGAAAUGGUUCAACUUUCAUUGUACGCCGACUACCAGGAAGCGCCACUGGGUGGCGCCACCAUGGGGGGCAGAGUCCUGCAAGUCGUGUCUGCAGAUGGCGAGACGUCACCUUCGGUCGUCCUGUCGCAGCGUGAACACGCCCCCA